UACGAAGGGUGCAAGCGUUACUCGGAAUUACUGGGCGUAAAGCGUGCGUAGGUGGUUUGUUAAGUCUGUUGUGAAAGCCCCGGGCUCAACCUGGGAAUGGCAAUGGAUACUGGCAGGCUAGAGUGCGGUAGAGGGUAGUGGAAUUCCCGGUGUAGCGGUGAAAUGCGUAGAGAUCGGGAGGAGCACCAGUGGCGAAGGCGGCUACCUGGACCAGCACUGACACUGAGGCACGAAAGCGUGGAGAGCAAACAGG
rnacentral:rRNA from 1 species